rnacentral:rRNA from 1 species
AACAGCUCAAAUUUGAAAUCUGGCCUUCGGGUCCGAGUUGUAAUUUGUAGAGGAUGCUUUUGGCGCGGUGCCUUCCGAGUUCCCUGGAACGGGACGCCUUAGAGGGUGAGAGCCCCGUACGGUUGGACACCAAGCCUCUGUAAAGCUCCUUCGACGAGUCGAGUAGUUUGGGAAUGCUGCUCUAAAUGGGAGGUAAAUUUCUUCUAAAGCUAAAUAUUGGCCAGAGACCGAUAGCGCACAAGUAGAGUGAUCGAAAGAUGAAAAGCACUUUGAAAAGAGGGUUAAAUAGCACGUGAAAUUGUUGAAAGGGAAGCGUUUGCGACCAGACCUUUUCCUAGCGGAUCAUCCGGUGUUCUUCACCGGUGCACUUUGCUAGGUCGAGGCCAGCAUCGGUUUCUGUAGGGGGAUAAAAGCCUAGGGAACGUAGCUCUUUCGAGAGUGUUAUAGCCCUUGGCAUAAUACCCUUGCGGGGACCGAGGACCGCGCUUCGGCAAGGAUGCUGGCAUAAUGGUCGUCAACGACCCGUCUUGAAACACGGACCAAGGAGUCGAACAUUUGUGCGAGUGUUUGGGUGUUAAACCCUCACGCGUAAUGAAAGUGAACGGAGGUGAGAGCCCUUACGGGUGCAUCAUCGACCGAUCCUGAUGUCUUCGGAUGGAUUUGAGUAAGAGCAUAACUGUUCGGACCCGAAAGAUGGUGAACUAUGCGUGGAUAGGGUGAAGCCAGAGGAAACUCUGGUGGAGGCUCGCAGCGGUUCUGACGUGCAAAUCGAUCGUCAAAUCUGCGCAUGGGGGCGAAAGACUUAUCGAACCAUCUAGUAGCUGGUUACCGCCGAAGUUUCCCUCAGGAUAGCAGUGUUGUUCUUCAGUUUUAUGAGGUAAAGCGAAUGAUUAGGGACUCGGGGGCGCUUUUUAGCCUUCAUCCAUUCUCAAACUUUAAAUAUGUAAGAAGCCCUUGUUACUUAAUUGAACGUGGGCAUUCGAAUGUACCAACACUAGUGGGCCAUUUUUGGUAAGCAGAACUGGCGAUGCGGGAUGAACCGAACGCGGGGUUAAGGUGCCGGAGUGGACGCUCAUCAGACACCACAAAAGGUGUUAGCACAUUUAGACAAUAGGACGGUGGCCAUGGAAGUCGGAAUCCGCUAAGGACUGUGUAACAACUCACCUAUCGAAUGUGCUAGCCCUGAAAAUGGAUGGCGCUCAAGCGUCCCACCCAUACCUCGCCCUCA